rnacentral:tRNA from 1 species
ACCUGGCUGGCUCAGUAGGUAGAGCGUGUGACUCUUGAUCUUGGGGUUGUGGGUUCAAGCCCCAUGUUAGGUG